rnacentral:rRNA from 1 species
GAUGAACGCUAGCUACAGGCUUAACACAUGCAAGUCGAGGGGCAGCAUGAUUGAAGCUUGCUUCAAUUGAUGGCGACCGGCGCACGGGUGAGUAACACGUAUCCAACCUUCCGUACACUCAGGGAUAGCCUUUCGAAAGAAAGAUUAAUACCUGAUGGUAUGAUGAGAUUGCAUGAUAGCAUCAUUAAAGAUUUAUCGGUGUACGAUGGGGAUGCGUUCCAUUAGGUAGUAGGCGGGGUAACGGCCCACCUAGCCUGCGAUGGAUAGGGGUUCUGAGAGGAAGGUCCCCCACAUUGGAACUGAGACACGGUCCAAACUCCUACGGGAGGCAGCAGUGAGGAAUAUUGGUCAAUGGGCGAGAGCCUGAACCAGCCAAGUAGCGUGAAGGAUGAAGGUCCUACGGAUUGUAAACUUCUUUUAUACGGGAAUAAAGGUUUCCUACGUGUAGGAUUUGUAUGUACCGUAUGAAUAAGCAUCGGCUAA